rnacentral:tRNA from 1 species
GCCGGGAUGGUCUAAUUGGUUAAGGCAUCGCCCCGGAAAGGCGAAGGUUGCGGGUUCAAUCCCCGCUUCUGGCC